GCCCGGGUGGUGGAAUUGGUAGACACAAGGGACUUAAAAUCCCUUGGACCUUUGGUCCGUGCGGGUUCAAUUCCCGCCCCGGGCACCA
rnacentral:tRNA from 2 species